rnacentral:rRNA from 1 species
AUUGAACGCUGGCGGCAGGCCUAACACAUGCAAGUCGAACGGUAGCACAGAGAGCUUGCUCUCGGGUGACGAGUGGCGGACGGGUGAGUAACGUCUGGGAAACUGCCCGAUGGAGGGGGAUAACUACUGGAAACGGUAGCUAAUACCGCAUAACGUCGCAAGACCAAAGUGGGGGGCCUUCGGGCCUCACACCAUCGGAUGUGCCCAGAUGGGAUCAGCUAGUAGGUGGGGUAAUGGCUCACCUAGGCGACGAUCCCUAGCUGGUCUGAGAGGAUAACCAGCCACACUGGAACUGAGACACGGUCCAGACUCCUACGGGAGGCAGCAGUGGGGAAUAUUGCACAAUGGGCGCAAGCCUGAUGCAGCCAUGCCGCGUGUAUGAAGAAGGCCUUCGGGUUGUAAAGUACUUUCAGCGGGGAGGAAGGCGGUGAAGUUAAUAGCUUCACCGAUUGACGUUACCCGCAGAAGAAGCACCGGCUAACUCCGUGCCAGCCGCCGCCGUAA